rnacentral:rRNA from 1 species
UACGUAGGGAGCAAGCGUUGUCCGGAAUCAUUGGGCGUAAAGCGCGCGUAGGCGGCCCGAUAAGUCCGCUGUGAAAGUCAACGGCUCAACUGUUGGAUGCCGGUGGAUACUGUCGGGCUAGAGUCCGGAAGAGGCAAGUGGAAUUCCUGGUGUAGCGGUGGAAUGCGCAGAUAUCAGGAGGAACACCUAUAGCGAAGGCAGCUUGCUGGGACGGUACUGACGCUAAGGCGCGAAAGCGUGGGGAGCGAACAGG